UACGUAGGGUGCGAGCGUUGUCCGGAAUUAUUGGGCGUAAAGGGCUCGUAGGCGGUCUGUCACGUCGGGAGUGAAAACUCAGGGCUUAACCCUGAGCCUGCUUCCGAUACGGGCAGACUAGAGGUAUGCAGGGGAGAACGGAAUUCCUGGUGUAGCGGUGAAAUGCGCAGAUAUCAGGAGGAACACCUAUGGCGAAAGCAGGCAUCUGGGCCAUCACUGACGCUGAGCUGCGAAAGCUAGGGGAGCAAACAGG
rnacentral:rRNA from 1 species